CCGACGGUGAGAGGCGAAAGCUGGGGGAGCAAACCGGAUUAGAUACCCGGGUAGUCCCAGCUGUAAACGAUGCGCGUUAGGUGUGUCAGUGACCACGUGUCACUGAUGUGCCGAAGGGAAACCGUGAAACGCGCCGCCUGGGGAGUACGGUCGCAAGGCUGAAACUUAGAGGAAUUGGCGGGGGAGCACCACAACGGGUGGAGCCUGCGGUUUAAUCGGACUCAACGCCGGAAAUCUCACCGGAUAA
rnacentral:rRNA from 1 species